UCUCUCUUUCUAAACCUUAAAAUCCUAACCUCCCAAACUGAUUUUUGGAGCUAUUUGGAGUAAAUUGGAGUUUGGAAAACUUCUCUAGAGGUAAGAUUAUGCCUUUUUACCAAUUGAUUUUCAAUUUGAUUGGCUUAACAUCAAUUUGGUCUAGCUUUGGUAAAAUUUUUCUCCCUUGAGUUUGCUGGGGAUUUGGAGCUAAGAUUUGGGUAACCCAACAUCUUAGGAGAAGUUGAAGAUAAUCAACUCAUUUGUGAGCUGAAAGACAGUUAGAAGCUGAGAAUUUGAGCUUGGUUGUGGGCGCACCUCCGAUUGUCAUCGGAUGGCCUCAUUUGUGGAUUCAUAUUCCAUCUAACGAUGAGAAUUCCAGACGUUGAUUCGAUUUAAGGUUGAGUGGAGUUCUACACCUUGAGACUAUGUGUGCUUGCAAGGAUAGUGGUAACCAAGGACAACGGUAUUAGUCUCGCCUAUGAUUCCCACCUGCAAUUCUUUCAAGCCAGCUAUUUGAGAUUACUUCAGGUGAUGCCAUCUAUUAGGAGAUUACUCCGGAUGAUGACUCUGAUUCUCCGCUUCUUGCCUUGGCACGUGAAUGAUUUGAUUUUUUGUUAACAACUUAGCCCUGAGCAUGACUUGACUUCAUUAGUUGGCCACCAUGCAUGAUUUGAUGAUGUCCAAGAGAGGACCACUUUAUAAUUGUGAUUUGAUUUGUGAGUGAUAUGACAUAGCCUCGAAUAGGCUUAGAUAAAAAUUAUUUGAAAUUGAUAUAAUACCUUAGUAACUAGCAUGUGCUUAAUGAUAUUCACUUUGAUAUAGCUUUGAGGGUAAGCCUAGUGAUAUACUAUUUACGGAUACUCCUAAGAAUGAUUGAUAUGCCUCUAACAUUGGAGAUGUUUGUUAGAACAUUUGUUUGCACUGAUAGUGCAAUAUUUGUAUAU